rnacentral:rRNA from 1 species
UACGUAGGGUGCAAGCGUUGUCCGGAAUUAUUGGGCGUAAAGAGCUCGUAGGCGGCUUGUCGCGUCGGCUGUGAAAACCUGGGGCUCAACUCCGGGCUUGCAGCCGAUACGGGCAAGCUAGAGUUCGGUAGGGGAGACUGGAAUUCCUGGUGUAGCGGUGGAAUGCGCAGAUAUCAGGAGGAACACCGGUGGCGAAGGCGGGUCUCUGGGCAGUAACUGACGCUGAGGAGCGAAAGCGUGGGGAGCGAACAGG